ACAAAAGUAAAUUAUCAAGCAUUACCACCUUCAAAACUAAAGUAGCUGUUUUCUUAAUCUUUAUUGUAGUAGUCCAUGUUCAUCUUUACGAUUGGUGAUUGUUUUGUUUGAUUUUCUUAUUUUAUCCAUGGAAAUAAACAUAAGAAAUGCAUUUACCUUAGCAGUUAGAUUAUCGUUACAACCUUGUCAGCCUUUAUACAUUGAGGCAAAAAAGUUAACCAAUAAUGGAAUUGUUGAAAUAAUUGUCAAAAUAUUAGAAAAACCUGAAUUUGCUACUAUAACAGCUUUAUUUAUAUUGAUAAACUUGGUCGUUGCUCUAACGAUAUCAUUAAUUCUAUAUUUUGGAAUCCUAUUUUUAACAGUGGGAGUUAUUAUGAUUGAAGGUCUGCUUCUUUUCAUUGUAAUCCUCAUCAUAGUGAACAAUACAUUUAUUAUAACAUUGAUAUUAGUAUUAAUUUAUAAAGGGGUUAAUAAUAACAAUUAAUUACUUAGAUGAUUUAUUUAAGAUUGAAGAAGAUCUAGAUUUAAUUUUACCUACUUGUUUUGUAAUCUUGUAUCCGUACAAAGUUAUUAAAGUAAGAAAUAUAUGUAGAAAAAUAUAUUGAUAAAUUAUAAAUGUACCUACUAUACUUUCUGUUUCAUUG